GAGCUCGAUCUCAAAGCUAGACUAAAAUUUGGAAACAAUGGCAAUUACUAGCAUUGCAAUAGGAUCUCCGGCGGAGGCUAGCCAACCAGAUGCCCUGAAGGCAGCUCUUGCAGAGUUCAUUUCAAUGCUCAUUUUUGUUUUUGCCGGUGAAGGCUCUGGCAUGGCAUUCAACAAGCUGACCGAUAAUGGGUCAACAACACCGGCCGGCCUAGUAGCAGCCUCUCUGGCUCACGGAUUUGCACUGUUCGUGAAUAUUUCCGGUGGGCAUGUAAACCCUGCUGUUACUUUUGGUGCCUUUGUUGGUGGCCACAUAACAUUGAUCAGAAGUGUUCUCUACUGGGUUGCUCAAUUGCUUGGUUCUGUGGUUGCCUGCCUGCUUCUUAAGUUUGCUACUGGUGGAUGGGAAACAUCUGCUUUUGCCCUAUCAUCUGGAGUUGGUGCAGGGAAUGCACUUGUUUUCGAGAUUGUCAUGACCUUUGGUUUGGUGUACACUGUAUAUGCAACAGCCGUAGACCCAAAGAAGGGUGACAUAGGGAUCAUUGCACCCAUUGCAAUUGGUUUCAUCGUGGGUGCCAAUAUCUUGGCUGGUGGUGCCUUCGAUGGUGCAUCCAUGAACCCAGCAGUCUCAUUUGGGCCAGCAGUGGUCAGCUGGACAUGGGAUAACCACUGGGUCUACUGGUUAGGUCCAUUCCUCGGCGCUGGCAUUGCUGCCGUUGUUUAUGAGGUCUUCUUCAUCAGCCCAAGUACGCAUGAACAGUUUCCCUCUGCAGAUUUUUAAGAAUUCUUCAGAGAGAAAAGGUUGAAAGUUGGGUGGAUCUCUUACUUUGGUUUGAUUGCUGUGCUGUUGGUGUUGUUUGUAUGUGGUUCAAGUAAUUCUUGU
rnacentral:misc_RNA from 1 species